rnacentral:lncRNA from 1 species
AUUCACAUCAUGCAUAUAUAUUUAAGUUAUAUUUUGAAUAAAUUGUUUAACCUAAUUUUAAUGAGUCAAUUGAUACUUUAAACAAUUUUUUGGUAAAUUUUUUUCAAAAUUUUUUAUUUUUUUUAUUUUUUAGCUUAACUUGUCAGGAUUAUAUAUAUAUUUUUAACUGACAAAAACCUUAUUUCUAAAUGUAGGUCAUUUAUAAAUUUAAAAGAGUGUUUAUAAAAUUAUAAAUAAUUUUAUAGUCAAUUAAAUAUUUUAAGAUGGUAAUGACAAUAAGGGCAAAGUUGGAAUUUUGUUUGUUGUUUAUUCAAAAUUGAUAAUAAAUUAGUGAGAAGGUUAUUUUUGAAAGUUUCUCUCUUUUAAAAGGUUAUUUAUGAUAUUUCAAUUUUUAUAGGGGCAUUCAUGAUAUUAGACUUAUUUGGAAGGAUAGUGAUGAAAUUUUCCCUAUUUAUUAUUUUGGUAAAAAUGUAUGAAGCUUAUCUAGACUAUAGAUCAUUUGGAUUUGGCUAUCAAAUCCUUCAAAAUUUUGAUUUUAAUACCUAAUCUCUCAAAUUGUUUGAUUAGAGCCAGUCAAUGACACUUUGACUCUAAAAUUUAAGCUAAUUACUUACGUUAAUCAAUUUAUAGUUCUGAUAAUUGCAUGAAAUAUAUACUAAAUAAAUCUACAAAGAUAAAUGACGUAUUCAAAUUUUGAAGUCAAAGUGUCGUUCACUAACCCAAGUCAAAUAAAUUGAACGGUUAUGUAGUAAAAUCAAAAUUUUGAAAGGUUAGAUAUCCAAAUCCAAAUAGUUUAUAGUUCGGAGUAGUUUUAUAUAGUUUUAUCUUAAAAAUAAAUUUAGCUAAAAAUGUGAAACAGUUAUGCUUCGAACUUAGGAUCUCGGAUACCAAUAUCAAGCCCUUUAUCUCUUGCACUAGAGACGAUCAGUAAUAUAGUCUUUAAAAAGGAAAAUCUUCAUACCUACUAUU